AUCAAUCCCACAAGUGUUUCGGACACUUGUGGGAUUAUUUGGCAGUUUAAAAGGAGAAGAAACGCUGUAAAUGGGUCGGGGUGGUAAAUGCGCUCAGGACAGUCUGUUAGUCUUUGACCAUGGGACGCCUGACUACUUUACCCAAGGCGCCACUCCCAAACACAUGGCUUUUUAAUUUUAGCUACAGAAACCAACAUGUGGCGAACCUAUUCUGAAGACCUAAGGACUGGAUGUGGAGGAAUUUCAACUGCAGUGCGUCAGGAUCUCGCGCCGACACCGUCUUCACCACUGUCCCGACCUCGGCGUCUUCCAGAAGCUGGAUGUAGUACGACGGCGAGCCGAACAGCGGGGGCUCGUCCACGUCCUCCACGCUCACGUGAACGAUGGUGACGUCCUUGAAGGGGCCGCGGUGCCGCAAGGUCGGGUCCAGACUCGGAGACAGAACUAAUCUGCGCUCAACAGCCAAGGCGGGAAAUAAUGAAAUUAAUUAUGAGCAUUAAAGCAACGCAACUGCCGGAGAAAGGUGGUAAAGUAAUUAUCCACAUUUAAACAGAAACCUGCGCUCUUCACAAUAUUUCUCACUGCUUGCUUUUAUUUUGUUCCAGAGCAAAAAUCGGCAGCUGCUGCACAGAAAUAGAGCUGAGCUGUAUCUCAGGGAAAAUCUGUUAUUAUAAAUAUUGUUUUUACCAUCUAAUCUCAUUUACGCUCAUUAAAUAGAUCUUAGACACUAAAAAAUAUUGGAUACUCUUAGACUAGCUGGAUGACAGAAAAGCCGCAAUACAUUGCAGCUUAUUGUAUUGAACUGAUGCCAAGUCACAUAAUUUUUCUCUUUAAAAUAAUGUUAGAUGGUAAAACUAAAACCUUGCUCCUCUUUUAAUUUCCACCGAAUAUUGAAUGUAUUUGUUUAUUUAAUGCUUAGAUUUGAAUCACCCAAUCUAAUGUGGUCACAUUAAAUGGCUUUCACUGUUAAAUGUCAUUGAUUCUUCAGAACCUUCCACUCAUUUCUUUGCUUUAUUGAAACUUUAAAAUCUCACAUUGAAUGUUGUUGUGUUGUCGAAGCCAUUCUCUGAAUUUAUUUGUUUUGAACAUCCUCACCAUCUGGUAAAACGUCUUGAUUUCAACAACUUUGGCAGUAAUCAAAUAUGGAAAACAUGGUAAGAAACGUGGAGAAUGUUUUAAUGUUUGAAAUAAAAUAUAAUUGUUUGAGCGAUUCCUCCCCUAAAGGGACACAGAAACAGAGUAAAUAACAGAUUCAUACAAUCAGUAAUUAAUAUAUUUCACUGGGAAGAAGAAUUUUGUUCACAAUGAUUCAGUCCAGGUUGGAGAGAAACUGCAAAUAGUGAAAAUCCACAAAUAUUGCCUCUACAAAUUGCAUACAACUAUUUUAAUAGUUCAAAUACCAAAUACACCUUAACAUGUAUUAAUAUACACAGGGAGCCAUUAGCACUACUGCAGAAGCUAACAUCAGUCUUUUUCUACGCUAUUGAGGUUUAGCCAAACAGCUCAGCUGCUUUGUAAAACAAAAAUAAGGCCUUAAAAUAUCUUAAAUCCAUACAAAAAAAGUAAAUUAGCCUUAAAUACAUCAAUUGGGGGUCUUAGAUUUUGUUGUAUCAGGACUAAUUAAUGUUCAUUUCAUACAGAACUUUUCUGUCAGACAAGAAGUUUGAAACAUCUUCAUUGCAAUCUGUGACUUGAAGCAAUUGAGGCUAUCGCUAGCUAGCUGCUAAUAUUCCAUUGCUAGCUAGCUCCUUUGCCUCUAUUGUUGGCACAAUCCCAGGGAAACAGUUGUUAAUCAGCCUGAUUAUAAUGCAAUAAACUUCUCCAAACAUUUUCUAUAUUUGUAGUCUUAAAUUUCAGCUUAAUCAGUUGGCAUAUUUUCCUUUUUACAGUCCUUUCUGCUUUCCUUCGCUCCUUUUUAUAAUGCUUCCUUCAUUCUGUCCUUCUUUCCUACCUUCGAUUUUUAAUUCUUCCCUACUUUCUUCAUUCCCUUUGUUUUUUCAGUCUAUCCUUUUUCCUUUCCUUCCUUUAUUUUGUCCUUUCUUUCCUUCCUUUCUGCUUUUCUACUUUGGUUUUUUCUAUCCAUCUUUCCUUCCUUCUUUUCUCUGUCCCUUCCUUCUUUUUUGUGUUUUUACAAUUCUUGUUUCCUUCCUUUCUUCCUUUCUUCCUUCUUUCCUUGCCCUUAUUGUGGCCCAAAGCCAGGUUCCCGGUUUUAAAUACACGAUUGUAAUACAAUAAACUUCUCCAAUCAUCCUCUACAUUUAGUUUUUUGGGUCUUAAAUUACAUUUGAUGCCAUUAAAAAUGUUUUUAAAAGUCUUAAAUCUGAACCUGCAGUUUGACCCUUCGGAGCCACUGUAGUCACCACUCAGGUUGUUGUAGUAAUUUGCUGGAUUCUCUGGUGACAGUGAUCCACUGGUUACUCUGGGGAGGACAAACCAUUUCCUGUAACACCAGCCGCUCCCUGGAGCGCAGCGGCUGGUUGUCAUAGGAGACGGAAACACGACUCCGCUCUCGGCGGCCAUUGUUCUCAUUCCUCACACCGUGCUCCGGUGGGAAACAAACAGUUCUCAGGGAUAUACUUCCUUCUACAAAUGAGCAUGGAGUCUCUCACUCCAGCUCAGAGACUUUUUAACCUCCCGUUGUCAAAUUACACUCCUCUGAUCUCUGCGCAUCAACUUCACAGACAAACAGCUAAUUUUUCCGGUGCAUAUUUCACACCUGCCUGACAAGGAGAAGCCUGAUGUUGGCUCGUAUUUAGAGUCGGUACAUCCUCACUUUGCACUUUCUCCCAGUGUCAAACUCUUUCUCUUUCUGCUGGGUUCUGGAGAUGCUCAGAUUUGGAGAAAAAAUGGCCGCCGCGGCGUGGAUCAAUGGUGGAGAAGGCGCACCAUAAAGAUGGCGGCAGCCGUCAGCAGUUCAGUUUCUAAAUGUUUCCUUUUCUCUCGUCUUCCUGUUUUUCUUUGAUUCCAUUCUGCAUCUUUAUUUUUUCAGUCUUUUUCAAUCUUUCCUUCCGUCAAUCAAUCCUUUGACUAAGAACAAAUGGUCUAUCCUUCCUUCACUCAUUUUCUAUCCUUCCUUCUUUAUGCUUUUCCUUUCUUACUUUUACAAUACAUAAUUAUUUCUUUCUGUCUGCCUGUGUUUUAACAAUCCUUCCUUCUUUGGCUCCUUUUCCCAAUCUUUCCUUCCUUCCUUCCUUCCUUUUAGCCUUUCCUUGACCUACCAGCCCUUUAAUGGCGCCGAUUCCCAUUGUGAUACCACAGAAUCAGACGAGCAGCUGAUAAAUAACAAGGAAAGGCUUAGAAAGAGAGCGAGCGUCGCUUCCCAUUAACUCCCAUGUGUGAAUGCGUUCGUGCAGGAAGCGCCUCGGUGUGUGUGGGUGAUUGAAUUAAUUACGUUUUAUCACCUUUUAGCUGAUUGAAGUCUACUUUACUCCCCUCAGACUGAAUGUGUUUGUGUCUUCGCCCACCAAGCCAAAUGGAUGAAGCUCCUCACCCGCCGCCGCCGUCUCUCUUGUCACACUUGUCUUGCUGCUUUCUCUUUUUUUAUUUAGCUUUUUCUUUUUCCGGCGUCCAAUUUUUCUUUCUUCUUCUAAUUCAUCUCCAUCAAGACAGAAGCAGAGUGCGGGGCGUGCUGUUUCAUUACUCACAUAAUGAUUUGUGGCGACAAUUUGAGGUUUUCUAUAGCUGCAUAUGUCUGUCAGGAGAGCGGCGCUCCACCUGCCGUUGUUGCCAGAAUUAGAUUUCUUUCAUUACAGAAACACAACAGGCCUCAUGAUUACUGCUGCAAAUGAUGCAGUUUCCCCCAGAAAACCUGCUAAGCCCCGAGUUACGGCAUCCAGCACCCUGACAAGUUUCAGUCAAAGAAUUUAAAACAUUUGAUAGUAAAUUUAAAAAUGUCACUUGAUAAUUGGAAGAGGUAAUUAGCAAUACCUAAACAACAACAAUAAAGUUUUUUAAAAAGACAAAUAUAAAAAAAUGCUGAAAUUAUUAAACAGACAAUGCUCACCCUGGCAGGGAGGCAAGUAAAGCCUGACAGCCCACCAGGCUGAUGAAACACUGUGAUGCUGAUUUUCUUUAACUCCUUAAACUUCUGGUUUUUUUUCUGAAUUAUAAAUGAGAAUUAUACAGUUUUUACAAUAUAGUGCUUGAUGAAAGAUGCUUAUAGUCUAUUUUAAACUGAUAUAAAUCACAUUUAUUUUAAAUUGGAUAAAUAAAUCUAGUGGACUAAUUUAAAGUCUAAGCAACAGUUUGUAGUGUCAUUGCAUUGCAUAUAUAGGGAUCCUUUCUCCAUUCCUUUCUUUCUUUAUUAAGUCAAUAAUUCCCUAAUAUCGAUGAAAUAGGGCGUUUUAAGUAAAACUGCACCAAUAUAAAAGUUUGGGCCAAUACCAAUAACCAAUAUUAAUAUUGUUUUUAUGGCUGAUGAGUGAUAUGUAUCUUUAUUAUAUAUAUUUUACCACUGUUUCAACACUUUGAGGAAAGAAGUACCAGAAAUAAACAGCGAUGAGAUGAAAAGAAAUGUUGGUUGUUCAUUUUUACAUCGAUACCGAUGUUGGGGCCGAUAUAUCGUGCAUCGCCAGUUUUAAGUGGAACUAGAUCUUUUUUUAAAAAUCAAUAUUGAAGAAGUUUAUAUAUUUUGUAAGUAAGUUUUUUAGUGUAUCUUAAGUGUACUGAGGUUUUUAUACCAGAAUUUAGACCAGAAAUGCUUGGUGAGGUUUUGUUUUUGCAGUUAGUGAUGUUGUUAGUUGUUAUCUUGGUUUCGGUGUUUACACUGUAAAAACACAAAAUAGUACCAAGUAUUUUUGUUGUAUUUUCAAAUGCAAAAACCUUCAUGCACUUGAAAUAAGACAAAAUGAACUGAAAAGUUACUUGUCAGCAAAAAACAGGAGCUUGUUUUAAGUUAAUAAUUACUUAAUAUCGAUUUAUAAUUUGCCAGUGGAAGCUGUACUUUAAAAAAAAAUCAAUAUUAAGGAAUUAUUGACUUGAAACAAGUACAGGUGAUAAUGCAGCUGUGCAGUUUAAAAAGUAUUAUUCUGUUGGAAGCUAAUUAAUUCAGAAAGCAAUGUAAUUACAAUUGAGAGACACUCUUUGUCUGGAGAUGGACUCUUUUUGUUUUGUUUUCCAGUCUCUGACCUCAACUCAUAUUUGUCUGGUAAAUUCUCUGCUUACACUUAUUAUGUGCUGCGGGAUUAAAGCACAUAAAAGCUGCUAUUUGCCUAAGUUCAAUGUGCCACAACAAACAGGCAAAUCCUGCAAGUCGCAUGCAAAGAGACAAAAUGUUCCCGGGUUGUGCAGCGCGCAGACAGCUUCCAGCAGCACUUUGUAAACAAUAUGUUCCAGAAACCCUGCAAGUCAAACUUCAUCCUGCACACAAACUGACAGGCGCUCCGAGGAACGCUCUCGUUCGGGGCCUGCGGAGCGUCAUCCUGAGUUACAGAUAUGUCGUCUCAGAGGGAGGCUUCCUGCCUCCCCUUCACCCUUCACUACACUCGAUGCAUCUCUGCGGCGUUUCUCUUCCUCCAGCUUCGCCACCGCCCGGCGUCACAUUCCCUUAACGAGGAUCCGUUCCCGCUCGUAGAUCAAUCCGCUACCUGUUUAGCUAAUUGUCGGCGAGUAAUUCAUCCCCCGGUGUGAUCCAUCAGCGGAUCGAUCGUAUUGAUGCGUCUCCGCAUCCUGACGCGUGUUUAUCACUGCGCGGCGAAGAACGCAUGCAGAGGAAGCAUGAUGGAUGUUCUUCAUUUGAUGAAUAUGAAACUGAGCAGCGAAGCAAAGCAGAAGUCAGCCUGACUGUAGCUAACAGCAUAACCAACACUGCAAAAACUCAA